GCCAACGGCCAUACCAUGCUGAAAACACCGGUUCUCGUCUGAUCACCGCAGUUAAGCAGCAUUGGGCGUGGUUAUUACUUGGAUGGGUGACCGCUUGGGAACACCACGUGCUGUUGGCU
rnacentral:rRNA from 1 species